rnacentral:rRNA from 1 species
GAUUUCUGGUUCGGCGCACUUGGCCCGUCUCGGUUUACGGGAUUGCGUGCCGGUGUGCGCCAUCCAUCCUUCGAGAGAACACUUCGGCUCUUUACUGGGUCGGAGUGCUAUCUCGAUCUUUUACUUUGAAAAAAUUAGAGUGUUUCAAGCAGGCUUUAUGCUAUGAAUACAUUAGCAUGGAAUAAUAAUUUAGGACUUCGGUUCUAUUUUGUUGGUUUCUAGGACUGAAGUAAUGAUUGAUAGGGAUAGUUGGGGGUGCUAGUAUUCAGCGGCCAGAGGUGAAAUUCUCGGAUUCGCUGAAGACUAACUUAUGCGAAAGCAUU